rnacentral:rRNA from 1 species
GUUUUGACCCAGGGGGCUGCCUUCGCCAUCGGUGUUCCUCCACAUCUCUACGCAUUUCACUGCUACACGUGGAAUUCUACCCCCCUCUGCCAAACUCUAGCCUCGCAGUCUCCAUCGCCAUUCCCAGGUUAAGCCCGGGGAUUUCACGACAGACUUACGAAACCGCCUGCGCACGCUUUACGCCCAGUAAUUCCGAUUAACGCUUGCACCCUACGUAUUACCGCGGCUGCUGGCACGUAGUUAGCCGGUGCUUAUUCUUCAGGUACCGUCAGCGGAUCUGGAUAUUAGCCAGACCCUUUUCUUCCCUGACAAAAGAGCUUUACAACCCGAAGGCCUUCUUCACUCACGCGGCAUUGCUGGAUCAGGGUUGCCCCCAUUGUCCAAAAUUCCCCACUGCUGCCUCCCGUAGGAGUCUGGACCGUGUCUCAGUUCCAGUGUGGCUGGUCGUCCUCUCAGACCAGCUACUGAUCGUUGCCUUGGUGAGCCUUUACCUCACCAACUAGCUAAUCAGAUAUCGGCCGCUCCAGGAGCACAAGGCCUUGCGGUCCCCUGCUUUCAUCCUUAGAUCGUAUGCGGUAUUAGCGUAACUUUCGCUACGUUAUCCCCCACUCUUGGGUACGUUCCGAUAUAUUACUCACCCGUUCGCCACUCGCCGCCAGGCCGAAGCCCGCGCUGCCGUUCGACUUGCAUGUGUAAAGCAUGCCGCCAGCGUUCAAUCUGAGCCAGGAUCAAACUC